UGUUCGUAGAGGCGGUGGUGAUGGCAGCAGGCCAGCACACACGGUUCGAGCAUUAUUCGAGAAGCGAAGCCUGGCUUUCGUGGUGUGUAAAGCCAUGAAAGAGGAAUGAUUGAACGUUUGUAAGCAGGUGUGUCCACUCGGGCUUGGGGGAGCUGGACUAUUAAUUGAGGACAAUGCUAACAGCUCGAUUGAUGAGAGAGAGAGACAGAGCGAGCACGCGUUACCCAGGGGGUGUGCCUCGCUAAUUGGCUCUGCCGCUGCUGUAUAAAAGGGGCCGGAGAAGCCCGUGACGGAGAGGAAAGCUCUGGCUGCGUGUUGCUUGGAGGCGAUGCCAUGCCUGCUGGUGGUGAGACAUGCGCCACAAGGUGCCCCGCUGUGGCGCCCCGCAGCGGUUUCAAUCACGCCGGAAGCCCUUCCCAUCGCAGUUAAGGACGAGAUUUCACACGUCCAACGGCCGAGCUCGGGAAACCAACUCGGGAGAGGCUUCGUCGUUUCGGGAAUAGCCGGAGUGAUGGAGAGCUCUGCCCUGACACGGAGCUGGUGAAUGAGCGCACGUCUCGGGCGCUGGCUGCUGACCUGUGAGCGAGCGAGCAAUGAGCGAGACCAUUCGUUUUUUUGUCUUUUGUGAUGCGGGGAGGGGCAGACAUCUCCAUCUCUCACGCCCGCUCGCUCGGGCCUCUUCGAGUGACGGUGACAGGCGAGAUGUGUGGUGGGGAGUGGUGGUCACGAGGCGGCGCCGGCUGUCACGAGCACGCCAACUCGGCGCGUCCCGCCGGUCCCGGUGUGUACCGGCGGGAGUGCUCACCGUCAGACGCUUGGUGCCGGAUGGGAAAUAUGAGAGCGCAAAUUGCUCAACUGGGAUUGCGCACCCAAAGCAUCACGCCGCCCCCCUCUGUUGUGAGACCACUGUGGACUGUGUCCGUCAUCACCAUGCACUACGAGGAUGGCUGCGGGCACCAAAUGGUGCUAUUUUAUGAAUUAAUUUUUGUGCAAGGAAAUAUGAGUUAAAAGGCCGCUUCACGAAUGAGGCUGAAAGUCUUUGAAUUUUUUUAAAGAAUUUUCUAAUUUCACAGUUCCACAAAAGUGUGAAAACAAAACACGAUCUAAAUCUGGCUUUUGACAUGACACCAAUCGGCAAAACUGGAAUAUUUUUUUGAAACGUCCUCCCCAAAAAACAUUCUUAUUCGUUGUACAUUUCCAACGAAACUGUAAAUAAUUGAUUGCGUUUAACUACGAAUGCUCUGUUGAAGGGCUGCGACAAUGUCGUUGGCGUGGACACCGGCGGCGAUUUGCUGCUAUGCAUUUCCACGUGAUAAGCCACCUCGAUGUGGCACGGACUUUUGGUGGUGUAGGAACAGUGGAAAAAUAUCGACUUUCGAUGAAACGUAGAAUUUCAGCGUGACUUUUUAAACGAUCACCUUCAACAGCAUUUUGUCCUCCACGUCGCUUUGACCGAUGCUGAUUUGCCUGAACAGAGCUCAAUCAACGUUCUUGGUUCUUCACUAAUGUACGGCGUCUUUCCAAAGUCUCGUUUGUAAAAUGAACACUUGACCCGAGACCUCACAGUUCUACCUACGCGGCUUGGUAACGCAGCGUCGCCGGAUUUCACUUGCAAGAGACGCGGUGCUUGCUAAACCAGGGGCGUAACUCUGGUAGGGGGUAAGCGGCAGCGUUAUACGAGGCAUAGGGGCCCAGUUGGCUACAAGAGGGCCCCGAAUCAACAGAUAAA